UUUACAUGUUAGAGGGAGUGGGGUAUAGUGACACAGUAACAGAGGGAUUGAGGGCCCUGCUCAGUGAGUUUACAUGCUAGAGGGAGUGGGGUAUAGUGACACAGUAACAGAGGGAUUGAGGGCCUGCUCAUUGAGUUUACAUGCUAGAGGGAGUGGGGUAUAGUGACACAGUAACAGAGGGAUUGAGGGCCUGCUCAUUGAG